rnacentral:rRNA from 1 species
GUGCCAGCAGCCGCGGUAAUACGGAGGGUGCGAGCGUUGUUCGGAAUCACUGGGCGUAAAGCGCGUGUAGGCGGUCGGCGAAGUCUGAUGUGAAAGCCCGGGGCUCACCCCCGGAAGUGCAUUGGAAACUGGCCGACUGGAGUCCCGGAGAGGAGGGUGGAAUUCCUGGUGUAGCGGUGAAAUGCGUAGAUAUCAGGAGGAACACCGGUGGCGAAGGCGGCCCUCUGGACGGUGACUGACGCUGAGACGCGAAAGCGUGGGGAGCAAACAGGAUUAGAUACCCUGGUAGUCCACGCUGUAAACGAUGAGCACUAGGUGUCGCGGGUAUUGACCCCUGCGGUGCCGCCGCUAACGCAUUAAGUGCUCCGCCUGGGGACUACGGCCGCAAGGUUAAA